AAUGAACGCUGGCGGCAUGCCUAACACAUGCAAGCCGAACGAGACCUUCGGGUCUAGUGGCGCACGGGUGCGUAACGCGUGGGAAUCUGCCCUUGGGUUCGGAAUAACUCAGAGAAAUUUGAGCUAAUACCGGAUGAUGUCGUAAGACCAAAGAUUUAUCGCCCAAGGAUGAGACCGCGUAGGAUUAGCUAGUUGGUGAGGUAAAGGCUCACCAAGGCGACGAUCCUUAGCUGGUCUGAGAGGAUGAUCAGCCACACUGGGACUGAGACACGGCCCAGACUCCUACGGGAGGCAGCAGUGGGGAAUAUUGGACAAUGGGCGAAAGCCUGAUCCAGCAAUGCCGCGUGAGUGAUGAAGGCCUUAGGGUUGUAAAGCUCUUUUACCCGGGAUGAUAAUGACAGUACCGGGAGAAUAAGCUCCGGCUAACUUCGUGCCAGCCGCCGCUGUAAAAC
rnacentral:rRNA from 1 species